AGCGAACGUUAGCGGCGGGCCUAACACAUGCAAGUCGAACGAGAAUGUAGGCUUCGGUCUACUAGUAAAGUGGCGGACGGGUGCGUAACACGUGGGUAAUCUACCUUCCGGCGGGGGACAACAGUCCGAAAGGAUUGCUAAUACCGCAUACGUCAGCGAGGCCUACGGGCUUUGUUGGGAAAGAUGGCCUCUCUUCAGAAGCUGUCACCGGAAGAUGAGCCCGCGUCCCAUCAGCUAGUUGGUGAGGUAAUGGCUCACCAAGGCUUAGAC
rnacentral:rRNA from 1 species